AUCCAUUUGACGAGUCCCAAAUAGGACUAAACGAGCUUCCUGGCU
rnacentral:hammerhead_ribozyme from 1 species